GACGAACGCUGGCGGCGUGCUUAACACAUGCAAGUCGAACGGAAAGGCCCUGCUUUUGUGGGGUGCUCGAGUGGCGAACGGGUGAGUAACACGUGAGUAACCUGCCCUUGACUUUGGGAUAACUUCAGGAAACUGGGGCUAAUACCGGAUAGGAGCUCCUGCUGCAUGGUGGGGGUUGGAAAGUUUCGGCGGUUGGGGAUGGACUCGCGGCUUAUCAGCUUGUUGGUGGGGUAGUGGCUUACCAAGGCUUUGACGGGUAGCCGGCCUGAGAGGGUGACCGGCCAAGUUGGGACUGAGAUGCGGCCCAGACUACUACGGGAGGCAGCAGUGGGGAAUAUUGCACAAUGGGCGGAAGCCUGAUGCAGCAACGCCGCGUGCGGGAUGACGGCAUUCGGGUUGUAAACCGCUUUCGCCUGUGACGAAGCGUGAGUGACGGUAAUGGGUAAAGAAGCACCGGCUAACUACGUG
rnacentral:rRNA from 1 species